CCGUCGUUCGCUUUUGCCGCUGUUUGCUGGAGUCUGCUUGCCGGAGUCUGUUUGGAGACGGCUGAGAGGCAUUUUCAAGCUGGACAGGCGUUUGGAUGUGCUUGGCUACAACUUUUGUCAAUGUUAUUAACACCUGCGAUGUACUUUUCUCUCUCUAAAGCACAUCUCUAUCACUGUGCCAGGUUUGCCUGUGUACACGUGGGGAAGAAUCUAUUCCCCCCUUACUGUAAGCUGACUGCAGAGUGUGGUAUUGUUAGAGCGUGCUAUUCCCAGUUUGAGGCUGAGCUGUCAAGUCCAAGGGUGUUCCCACCCUGGAAUGGGUCCUGUACACUUACCAUAGUAAUGGCUCUGGGUCCCUUUCUUCCCCAUGAGGGGAUUGGAGAAUGUAUCAACACAUAUGACCAUCGUCAUUUCUUUUCCAUCUAUAAACUGGUUUCAAAAACUA
rnacentral:lncRNA from 1 species